rnacentral:rRNA from 1 species
AUCGCACCACCUGAUCCCAUCCCGAACUCAGCAGUGAAACGAUGCAUCGCCGAUGGUAGUGUGGGGUUUCCCCAUGUGAGAGUAGGUCAUCGUCAAGA